ACUUGGCCAAUAAGGAGCUCCCUUUAGCCCGGAUGACGUCAAACUCACGCGUAUGGGUGCACUUUGACCUGUAGAACCAUUUCUGGCAUUUCCAGAGUCACGCGAUACAAGCGUAGCAUUGUUUUGACGAGUUUUCGUCGUAUUUCCGGUUGGGAUUAUCGCAAAUUCGGAGCAGAAAUGUAAAAUUCGGCACUAAAAGUCACCUUUUAGGGACGGACCAUUUGAUUUUUGAUGGGGGAGUGGGUAGAAUCCCCAAAAAAAUAUCGGGCAAGCAAUUCGAACUUAAAAAAAAUAUCGUGCAAGAAUAAACGGACGAAAAAAAAUAUCGAGCAAGACUUUCGGGUGGUAAUCCUUAUUUGCCAUUCGGUGCAUUUCCGCGUGUAGCCCAGGGCGCCGGGGGGCUGCAGCCUAAAUAAUGGGAGGACCAGUAUAAUUCCAAAAAUGGUUGUUCUUUAUUUCUUUACUCCGGCUCCUAUGAUGAACAUGUACAUAAAAAACUAGGAACACUACGAUUAAAUCACGGCCGUAGAAACUAAAAUAAGUGGAAAUUUUAUGGGACACGAUCAAAGGCGAGGAUACAAGAGCGAGAGAUUGAAAUUGAGUAGGAAUAGCGUACAGGGGUAUGCGUUUCGACCUAACAGUUUUCUUCAGCAGGGUUUUUUAAGAGGGGCAGGGGUAGAUAUAAUUUGAAGAGGAGAAGGAAGGAGAGUUUAUAGGAGUUCGGAAUAUAAUGUGAGACCAAGAGGAAAACAAAUUAUUACGAAAUAACUGAAAAUAACCAAUUACACAGUGAAAGGAUGUAACUACUAUACAUGUUAUUAGUCAAGUUAUCCUACCAAAGGUCUGGUUGUUUGCGGGACAUUCCAACACUACGCACUUUAUUGUUCAUCAUUUGUAUUGGUGAAGUGAAGCAAAUUUGCAGGUCCUUCAAUUAAGGGUUAACUUACUCAAUGGUAUAGUGAGUUUGAAUGAUUGUGAUGGUAAGGGUGAUCAUGUGACUGUAGGUGAUUGCAUCCAAAUAUGGUGCUAGUGGUGUAGGAGCUUAUAAGACAGGGAUAGGGGCGUUUGGCAAUUAGUGAUACAAUUAACUAUUAUAUACCAAAAAAUGUAAAAACAAAAAACUAAAAAAUGUAUAUACAUGCAUACAAAAAAUAUCGUGCAAGUCCUCUGACUGACAAAAAAAAUCGAACUGUGUCAGGAGGCGGAAAAAAAAUAUCGAGCAAACUGAAAAUCUACCCAUCAAAAAUCAAAUGGUCCGUCCCUUAAGGAUAGAAGCUUGGAAAUAACGUUAUACAUGGCAUUUUAAAUGAUUAAUUCAUCAAGAAUAUCACAAUGAGCAUACGUUUCAAGGCGGCCGAAGUUAUAUUCGGCGAAAGGUAUGUUUAUGUUUUUAUAAUUUGUUGGUAAAAUGCGUAAUUUGAUCGUAUUCGAUCUCGCUUUACUUUUAAAGCUCAUAAAUCGCUAUAAUGUUGCCAAUGACUAAAACUAUUGCUACGAGUGAGGAGAUCUAGUCACACUGAAUCGAAUGGUGGUAUUUUUGUCCUCAUAGCAUUCAAUGAACCGAAG